AUUGAACGCUGGCGGCAUGCCUUACACAUGCAAGUCGAACGGUAACAGGUCUUCGGAUGCUGACGAGUGGCGAACGGGUGAGUAAUACAUCGGAACGUGCCCGAUCGUGGGGGAUAACGAGGCGAAAGCUUUGCUAAUACCGCAUACGAUCUACGGAUGAAAGCGGGGGAUCUUCGGACCUCGCGCGGACGGAGCGGCCGAUGGCAGAUUAGGUAGUUGGUGGGAUAAAAGCUUACCAAGCCGACGAUCUGUAGCUGGUCUGAGAGGAUGAUCAGCCACACUGGGACUGAGACACGGCCCAGACUCCUACGGGAGGCAGCAGUGGGGAAUUUUGGACAAUGGGCGAAAGCCUGAUCCAGCCAUGCCGCGUGCAGGAUGAAGGCCUUCGGGUUGUAAACUGCUUUUGUAUGGAACGAAAAGCCUCUUUCUAAUAAAGAGGGGUCAUGACGGUACCGUAAGAAUAAGCACCGGCUAACUACGUG
rnacentral:rRNA from 1 species